rnacentral:rRNA from 1 species
GACGAACGCUGGCGGCGUGCUUAACACAUGCAAGUCGAACGGAAAGGCCCUGCUUUUGUGGGGUGCUCGAGUGGCGAACGGGUGAGUAACGCGUAAAGAACUUGCCUCUUAGACCGGGACAACAUUUGGAAACAGAUGCUAAUACCGGAUAUUAUGGUUUCUUCGCAUGGGGGAAUCAUGAAAGCUACAUGCGCUAAGAGAGAGCUUUGCGUCCCAUUAGCUCGUUGGUGAGGUAACGGCCCACCAAGGCAAUGAUGGGUAGCCGGCCUGAGAGGGUGAACGGCCACGAAGGGGACUGAGACACGGCCCUU